UAGAUACCCUGGUAGUCCACGCCGUAAACGAUGUCAACUAGCCGUUGGAAGCCUUGAGCUUUUAGUGGCGCAGCUAACGCAUUAAGUUGACCGCCUGGGGAGUACGGCCGCAAGGUUAAAACUCAAAUGAAUUGACGGGGACCCGCACAAGCGGUGGAUGAUGUGGAUUAAUUCGAUGCAACGCGAAGAACCUUACCAGGCCUUGACAUCCAAUGAACUUUCCAGAGAUGGAUUGGUGCCUUCGGGAACA
rnacentral:rRNA from 1 species